rnacentral:rRNA from 1 species
CACGCCGUAAACGAUGGAUACUAGCUGUUGGGCGCAAGUUCAGUGGCUAAGCGAAAGUGAUAAGUAUCCCACCUGGGGAGUACGUUCGCAAGAAUGAAACUCAAAGGAAUUGACGGGGGCCCGCACAAGCGGUGGAGCAUGUGGUUUAAUUCGAUGAUACGCGAGGAACCUUACCAAGGCUUAAAUGUAGAUUGACAGAUUUGGAAACAGAUUUUUCUUCGGACAAUUUACAAGGUGC